GCGCGCUUAAAGGGGCGGCGCCCUCGUGUGAUCAAAAGGCACUUCCGGGUUCCGCAGGUAGUUUGUAAUCUCGCCUAUGGAGAGUACAGUUUAGGUGCAGAACUGGGGUAAAAUCAGAUCCGGACACAACUGCUUUGAUUACGCUUUGCCCGACACCCCCGCGGUAGGCUUCCUCCUCGCUGUGCCACGAGGGUAGGGUCCGUGAUGACUUUGAAGAGACUGAACUAGAGGAUUGGCUGGUUUUAAACCAGUGUAGGUAACAUCAGACUUCAGAGAAGUCUACUGUUGUGGUAACACGACACUGUUGAAGUUUCCAAGUCACUUUUCUUGUUUCAUAUUUACACAAUUUUUUUUCAUUCUCGAACAUGAUAGGAAACCAAUUUCAGGACAGGACACGUUCCUGCUAAGACCGCUAAUCGCAUUAAACGAAUUAUACAUGGCCCAAAUGCCUAAAGUAUAGAUUGUCAGAUUUGAAAAUAAAUCAGACCAAACUAUGUGUUAGCUACAGAAAAUAUGUUAAAGAUAAGUACUCUGGCAGAUUCAAAGUGACCCUCUCCACAGUAGUCAAGAGAAGACUCAAGUCGAUUUUCAAGCAGAGGUAGAUGGGGACGAAGAACAUUGCCAUGAUAAUAGAGAGGGCAGUUCAUCUAGUGAAAACCAACUUGGCGGGAGGUGGUAGCACAUGCCCUUUAAGCCAGCCAAUGGACAGGCAAAGCCUGGGUGUCCGUGAGACUGAGCUAGGAGGAGCUCAGCUAGGACUACAUAGUGAAACCGUGGCCUAGAAUUCAAACACAUGCUGCACCCUCCUGAGUAGUGGGAUUAAAGGCGUCCACUAUCACCUCCCAUCUAGAUUUAUGUUUUAAAUAGUACCAGACGUCAGUCUAAAGAAUAUUAAAUAUGUUUACUGUAAUUAAUGAGCCUGAGUUGAUCCUGUUCCUCACCAGUGCUGAACUCUCUUUGAAUCCCAUGAAGUUCCAAAUGGCCCGUGACGGUAGCAAUUAUUGACUUAGCUGGGCAUGUGGCCUGCCCUGAGGUUUGAUGGGUUUUCCCAGUGAGACUCCGCUGGAGAAGACUGGAUUUUCCUUUGGCAGCAGACCACGGAGGCGGGCACAGUCACCAGUCCCUGAAGGAUGGUGUCAUUGGAUGAGGAUUCCUAUUUUAAGAACUUGCUGGAUUUGCUUUAACAAACAACAUGAGCUGGAGGGCCAGAAGCCUGGGCUCAGAGUGACACUCUACGAGUUGCAGUAAAUAUAUGGCGGAGAUCAUCAGCUUCAAUGACACCCAUCUGAAGACAACUCAGACCCAGGAGUACAUUGCAAACCAAAAUGGAGAGAAAUUUGCUAAAACCCUAGGUUAAGACUUACCUGCCUCAUUCCUGGCAUCCCCAAGAUCCCCCUGCAAGGUGGACAGAAACUUCAUGCCACAUUGUGAGCUUGGGCACUGACAUCACCGACCUGAGGGACUUCUAUAUGGGGGCCUCCAAACUGGGCUGCCAAAGUUCACCAUUUUGCUUGGGAUAUUUCAGAAAUUUAUUUGUACAGUUAACUAAAAGUCUCAUGGCAAAAGAA